GCAGCAGUGGGGAAUCUUAGACAAUGGGCGCAAGCCUGAUCUAGCCAUGCCGCGUGAGUGACGAAGGCCUUAGGGUCGUAAAGCUCUUUCGCCUGUGAUGAUAAUGACAGUAGCAGGUAAAGAAACCCCGGCUAACUCCGUGCCAGCAGCCGCGGUAAUACGGAGGGGGUUAGCGUUGUUCGGAAUUACUGGGCGUAAAGCGCACGUAGGCGGAUCAGAAAGUUGGGGGUGAAAUCCCGGGGCUCAACCCCGGAACUGCCUCCAAAACUUCUGGUCUGGAGUUCGAGAGAGGUGAGUGGAAUUCCGAGUGUAGAGGUGAAAUUCGUAGAUAUUCGGAGGAACACCAGUGGCGAAGGCGGCUCACUGGCUCGABACUGACGCUGAGGUGCGAAAGUGUGGGGAGCAAACAGGAUUAGAUACCCUGGUAGUCCACACCGUAAACGAUGAAUGCCAGUCGUCGGC
rnacentral:rRNA from 1 species